GCCAUGCCUUUUGCUCUAAGAGAUUAAGGAUUUUUAGCUUGUUAAGUUGCUUUUGGAACAUGGGAGCGAGAGGUACUAUUCUAUAUUGGCCCGUACAGUAUACAAGGAGUAAGGCAGCUUUAAUUUUGAUGAGCUUGAGGUCCAUGCAUGUUACUUGGUUGUUGACUUGUUGAGCAGAUAAACUGACCACAUGAGCUGUACCAUGUUGAUUGGCUUAGAAAGGAAAAGACGACCAUGUUGAGGUUUAGCUUUUCUGCUGUCCCUGUUCUUUGGAGCAGAUUGUACCUGUUCUUGUCUUCAUUGUUUAGAAAAAGCAUUUGCUGCAAACAGUGCAUAGAAGGUAGAAGUUAUUUCGUGACAGGAGUGGCACAAAUGUAGAUUGGCGAAAGUAGAUUAUGGUGUUGCUGGUGACUUUGGGAUCACAGAUAUUGGUGCUAGAGUUCUUCCUAGUGUCUUUUUUUUUUUUGUUCCAGAUUGAAAAUGGGCAAAUAAAUUUCUGGUCUCAUUUUAUUUUGUAUUAUCUAUCUGGAUAUUUGCAUGGACAUGACCAUAUGUAAGCCAUUCAUUUCAGUUGGCAGUAUAUCUUGCUAUUGUGAAGGCCACAUGAUCAUAUUGUUGCUC